rnacentral:rRNA from 1 species
UACAGAGGUCUCAAGCGUUGUUCGGAUUCAUUGGGCGUAAAGGGUGCGUAGGUGGUGAUGCAAGUCUGGUGUGAAAUCUCGGAGCUCAACUCCGAAAUUGCACCGGAUACUGCGUGACUCGAGGACUGUAGAGGAGAUCGGAAUUCACGGUGUAGCAGUGAAAUGCGUAGAGAUCAUGAGGAAGACCAGUGGCGAAGGCGGGUCUCUGGACAGUUCCUGACACUGAGACACGAAGGCCAGGGGAGCAAACGGGG